rnacentral:rRNA from 1 species
CCUACGGGUGGCAGCAGUGAGGAAUAUUGGUCAAUGGACGAGAGUCUGAACCAGCCAAGUAGCGUGAAGGAUGACUGCCCUAUGGGUUGUAAACUUCUUUUAUAUGGGAAUAAAACGUUCCACGUGUGGGAUUUUGUAUGUACCAUAUGAAUAAGGAUCGGCUAACUCCGUGCCAGCAGCCGCGGUAAUACGGAGGAUCCGAGCGUUAUCCGGAUUUAUUGGGUUUAAAGGGAGCGUAGGUGGAUGGUUAAGUCAGUUGUGAAAGUGUGCGGCUCAACCGUAAAAUUGCAGUUGAAACUGGCAGUCUUGAGUACAGUAGAGGUGGGCGGAAUGCGUGGUGUAGCGGUGAAAUGCUUAGAUAUCACGAAGAACUCCGAUUGCGAAGGCAGUUCACUGGACUGCAACUGACACUGAGGCUCGAAAGUGUGGGUAUCAAACAGGAUUAGAUACCCUUGUAGUC